rnacentral:misc_RNA from 1 species
ACGCUAAGGUUUGGGGUUGCGUCACCGUUUUAGAUGCCUGCUGCUGCAGGUAGCUGCAGUUGCUCACUAAACAGUACUCGAGAAGGAUAUUAACUGACCUAAGUUGUGUUUGUAAUCGGUUUGUUGACGAGUUUAACGUUAUGUUGUUGGUGAUGGUAUUGGCCUUGGUCGCGGGGUGUGGGGGCGUCCCUCCAAUCCUCAGAAGGAAGCUAGUUACAGCCACCAUACAUCCCGAAGAACCAAAGUUAGUCGAACACGAAAUUGAAGAAGUUAACGAAGUCGGACCUACUGACGGCUUGCGGAGGAACACCAGGCAGAUCUCUGGCGGCGUUGUUCAACCCCGGGGUUACCUCUUGUCAUCUGAAGAGGGGCCGUACUAUAGCCCCAACACUCCUACUGCUCUACCAGUACUUCGCCCAGUAGCCUCCAGCCCAUCUCUAGCCGCCCUGGAAAAGUCUCGUCACCCUGCUUCCUUGCAAGACUCGGAGGUGUCGCCGUACUGGGCGGACCCCGAAGGUAGAGAACCAAGCACGGCUCCUUACACGACUCCUAGCCACUUUAUUGCAGAACCCAACCAAUGCAGGAGAGUAGAGUCGUCGUGUAGUCGCAGCUACGGCUAUCGCUCCAUCACAGGCUACUGCAACAAUCUCCUCACACCAGAGUUUGGCAGUUCACGGCAGCCUAUGCCCCGGAUCCUUCCCCCUGUGUAUGAUGUUGCCUACAUGCGCACCCGCAGUGUGAGCGGAGGUCUACUGCCCAGCCCUCGUAUGGUGACCCUCGGGUUGAGGAACGCCCCGAGGAAGAGAUCGCACUCCCACCCGGUGCUCCUCAUGCAGAUAGGACAGUUAAUUGACCACGAUCUCGUGGUUAAUCAUAGGGUUCCAGUUAAUGGAGCAGAUUGUGGAGAUUGCAGCUCGUGGAGGUUCCCUGCCUGUGCUCCCAUCACACUGCCGCCUGACGAUGCCUUCCUGACCACGUUCGACCGUACUGGCAAACGAAGAUGCCUUCAAUUUAUCAGGAGUGCUGGAGUCUGGCAGCCGGACGGCACUGGAAGGUUUACACUUCAGCAGCUGAACUUCAACACGGCUUUCUUGGACUUGUCUUCGGUGUAUGGGAGCACCGCCUGCCGGCAGGAGCAGUUGAGGUUGAACUCUGCAGGACGCCUGAGAGAGACUCCGAGGGGCCUCCUACCUUUAGCUCCAGCAGAAAUGUUUGAAGACUGCCGGAUGCCGCAGGGAAAGUGUUUCCUUGGCGGGGAUGACAGAAGCAAUGAACACCUGUUGCUGCUAGUGAUCCACUCCCUCUUCCUCCGUGAACACAACAGACUCGCCACAAGACUAAACAGGAUCAAUAGUCACUGGGAUGAUGAGAGGCUUUAUCAGGAAGCGCGAAGAAUAAACAUCGCACAAUUUCAAAACAUUGUUUACAAAGAAUUUCUUCCCGUGCUUAUUGGAAGACGGAGAAUGGAAGAAUAUAAACUCCCGCCAAGAAGCAGUGGAUACUACCAGGAUUAUGAUGUCAAGGUUAAUCCUGGCGUAAUGAACGAGUUUGCGACGGCAGCCUUCAGGAUGGGUCACACAAUGAUCCCAGACGAUGUGAUGCUUCUGGACGGUCGUUACGGUCCCGUGGGCUCCAUACCCCUGGUACAGACCUUCCAGAACCCCUCGGCGGUGCUUGGGGAAGGUAAAUUUGAAGAGCUGUUGAGAGGGCUGAUUGGUACAAGAGUGAACGGUGUGGACAUGGCCAUCGUAGACUCGGUCACCAAUAGACUCUUCGAGCGUGUGGGUGUUCCCAGCUCUGGCCAGGAUCUCCUGGCUUUGAACAUUGCAAGAGGUCGUGAUCACGGGAUAGCGCCAUACCACGCCUACGCUUCAGCUUGUGGAAGGGAUAAAAUGGCUACUUUUGAAGACCUGAAGACACUCUUGCACAGAAAUAACUUGGAUGUUUUGAAAAGCAUAUAUUCUAGCAUACAGGAUGUAGACCUCAUUGUUGGGGGGCUGGCAGAAGAAUCUCUCCCAGGAGCCUUGUUGGGUCCAACAUUAUCCUGCAUCAUUGCGUACCAGUUUCUCAACUUGAAACGUGGAGACAGAUUUUGCUGCAGUCGAUCCGUCAGUCCUCGCUGGCGCGCGUAGUCUGCGACAACUUGGACGACAGGGCUGCUGUAGUACCAAGGAGAAUCUUCGAUAUCUAUGACGAAAUAAACGUCCCGCUUCCGUGCCACCGUCUACCUGGAACAAAUAUAGAACUAUGGACUGAAGACCCUUACCAGAAGGCGAAGGAGUGCGCGUUCCAGGAGAAACUAUACCCUGCCGGCAGACUUGUACCAGUGUCCCCAUGCAUG